rnacentral:rRNA from 1 species
UGGGGAAUAUUGGACAAUGGGGGCAACCCUGAUCCAGCCAUGCCGCGUGUGUGAAGAAGGCCUUUUGGUUGUAAAGCACUUUAAGCAGUGAAGAAGACUCCAUGGUUAAUACCCAUGGACGAUGACAUUAGCUGCAGAAUAAGCACCGGCUAACUCUGUGCCAGCAGCCGCGGUAAUACAGAGGGUGCAAGCGUUAAUCGGAAUUACUGGGCGUAAAGCGAGCGUAGGUGGCUUGAUAAGUCAGAUGUGAAAGCCCCGGGCUUAACCUGGGAACGGCAUCUGAUACUGUUAGGCUAGAGUAGGUGAGAGGAAGGUAGAAUUCCAGGUGUAGCGGUGAAAUGCGUAGAGAUCUGGAGGAAUACCGAUGGCGAAGGUAGCCUUCUGGCAUCAUACUGACACUGAGGUUCGAAAGCGUGGGUAGCAAACA